GUCGGGCGUGGUGGCACGUGCCUGUAGUCGCAGCUACUCGGGAGGCUGAGGUGGGAGGAUCGCUUGAGCCCAGAAGCUCUGGGCUGUAGUGUGCUAUGCCAAUCGGGUGUCUGCACUAAGUUCGGCAUCAAUAUGGUGACUUCCUGGGAGUGGCGGACCACCAGGUUGCCUAAGGAGGGGUGAACCAGCCCAGGUCAGAAAUGGAGCAGGUCAAAACUACCGUGCUGAUCAGUAGUGGGAUCGUAGUGGGAUUGUGCCUGUAAAUAGCCACUUGCACUCCAGCCUGGGCAACAUAGAGAGAACGCGUCUCU
rnacentral:SRP_RNA from 1 species